rnacentral:lncRNA from 1 species
UGAGACAUUGACCGUCGGCUCGGCGCGGGGGCUCUGGCUCUCGGAAAGCUUUUCCUUUUCCGACUCAGCCAGCCGACUUCACUGCUAGGCUUUCCUAGCGUUGCUCACCGCUAGAUUAAAAUUUAGGCGACUUGGUUGUUUCAGAAGACGCCCGAUGUGGGAUUGUGAAUAUAAGUAAUUUGAUUUUUUCAGAGUUCUCCAUACACGUGACAGCGGGUACUGCUUUCAUGGUGCAUUUCUGGCUUGAGCCAACUUAGAAGAUGUGCGAAGAGCAUUCAGAACCUGCCUUGGGCCCUGGAUCCUGGACCCGGAAGGUGGCGUGGAGGCUGGGCAGCUCCUUCCUGUUCCUUCUUGGUUCUCUAGGCUGUCGCUGCAGUGUUUGGUGAGCAGGAUUCAGAGGGAGCUGCCUAUCCCAGGGCCCAGCUGAGGAGUUUAUUCAGGCCAAUCUCUUUAACAGUUU